rnacentral:rRNA from 1 species
UACGUAGGGUGCAAGCGUUGUCCGGAAUUAUUGGGCGUAAAGAGCGUGUAGGCGGCUCGAUUAGUCCGCUGUGAAAGUCCAGGGCUCAACCCUGGAAUGCCGGUGGAUACUGUCGAGCUAGAGUCCGGAAGGGGCGAGUGGAAUUCCUGGUGUAGCGGUGAAAUGCGCAGAUAUCAGGAAGAACACCUAUGGCGAAGGCAGCUCUCUGGGACGGUACUGACGCUGAGACGCGAAAGCGUGGGGAGCGAACAGG